rnacentral:tRNA from 1 species
AGAGAGGUGGCCGAGUGGCUUAAGGCGCACGCUUGGAAAGCGUGUAUACGUUUAUAGCGUAUCGAGGGUUCGAAUCCCUUCCUCUCUG